AGCUCAAAUUCAGGCCAAUCAGAUUCGCGCCCCGAAGAUUUUGAUUCUCAGCUGAACUCUUCGCUCUGGGCGCUUGUGUACCACGCAUGUCAGUUAAAUUAGACUUAUAUUGCAGUCUUCUUUAUGUUAUUCUGAAGAUAAAGCCGAGUUUGGACCGUCUUGCUUUGGGCACGCGCGUUUCAGAACCGACGCAGAUCACAGAGAAACAAGCGAGCGGAGAGUGGACCUCCAGAACCAGACAGACAUGCCUUUCACCAGGGGGAAGAAGCCGGCUGCCAGCGGGGGCAAAGCGCUCCGGCAGCAGAGCGCUCCGUCCACGGAGAACCAGGAGGACGGGUCCCAGGUGAAGAGGUCAUCCUCCCCUCCUCGGGGAGCUCCAAAGAAGAGGACCGCUUUCAUUGAUAUCACUAAUGUAAGCGUAUUUUAUUUAUUGUUUUUUUAUUCAUAAGUAAUUAAGUUGUGGGCAGAACUGUUUAGUGCAGAGUAAGACCGCACUUCCCAUCAUCCAUCUGUUUACACUCAUUCCCAUUAGUUUACACCUCCAACCUAACAUCACUGGUGCAACGAAAAUAGCCAACGAUAUUGGAACAACAAUCCAAAAAAAAAAAAAAAAAGCAAUUAAUCACAAAUGCAAUUUACAUUUUUAUUUUUGUUCCAUAUGUCCUCCAUUAUCAGGAAAGAGAAAUACCACAAGAACAAGUUAAAAACACAUUAUUUGAUCAGAGAGGUGGGUCUUCCACUGACUGAUCACUUUUGUGUAGCAGACUUUAUGCCUAAUUUUUGCAGAAACUGUUUAUUUUCUGCACUGGUGAGAGUUGAUGAAUUCCAUACAAAUCCAAAAACACAUGAGUCUGAUCAGUGGGUCUAAAAUUUGAAUUAUUUUUUCCUCUUAAUUCUUAGUUUGGAAGCUUCAAUACUUUUUUCGGAUUUUCUAGUUUUUAUUUUUGCUGUUUCUGCUCCAUCUGUCAGACAUGCAUCUGAGGCAGCUUUGGAAUAUGUUGUCAUGAAAGCUUGGUGGACAUAAAAAUAAAAAAAAAAUAUUAGUAUGCAUCAAAAUGUUGACAACUGGUUAUUCAAUAGUUUCUCAUUUGGGGCCUUCAGUGUGACACACAAGUUCAAGAUUAGCUCAGGUAAACCAAGCAAAGCUAGAAAAGAAAAUGUGCAUCUUGAAGCUAAAUGGUCUAAAGUAUUACCCAAAAUAAAUAUGUGUUUGUGCGAAAAUUUAUACAUUUACUGUGAAGAAAAACAUAUUUGUAACAAAUAGAGCUGUCAGGCGAUUAAAAUUUUUAAUCGAGAUUAAUCGCAUUUUGUCCAGAGUAAAAAAAAAAUAAGCAACACACUAAAAAGUUUUGCAAAAAAUGUAAAAAUGAAUAGGGAAACACCAGGCAAUUGACUCAUGGCCUCAAAAUCCUCUCCCGACUUAAAUGACAUUCCCUCCGGAUUAAUCCAGCCUCCUCGUCUACAUGAUCCUCUAUGAACAGACAUGCUGUUUUGGUUUUAGCGUGACGGAAACAUCCAGUCUCUAAUAUGAAUGUU